rnacentral:ribozyme from 1 species
GUUCAUCCAGUUGAAAGCGUUAUGGAAGAACAAACGCGCGCUCGCCUUCCAGGGGCUUAAUCUGGCGAUGAUCGUACUGUCAGCGCUCAUGAUCUGGAAGAGUUUGAUGGUAUACAC